GGGACAUAAAAAAAAUCUGUAUAUAGUGCAAGAAGAAUUUAUAAUAAGUACUUAAAUCUAAAGGAAAAUUAUGUUCUAUAAUAGUUACACACAGUGACGUGAUUGGUUGGCUAACAUUUCCUAAAGAUCUGUUUGAGAACAUGUAUGUAUAAUGGUUUGGCAAAGGUCUUGGACUAAAAUGUUUUUGUAUAAUGUUUGAUGGAAUACAAGUCUUACUUUUGAUAACAUGCGUACUUCUAAUUUUUAUUUGGAAUGUUAACUUUAAAGAUUCAAAUGUAUAACAAGAAGGAAGCAAAUAAAUUAAUAUAUAUAAAUACAUGAAAUUCUGAUGGUUGAUUCAGAUUAAAUAUUUCACAAUUCAUUGAGUUUUCUAACUUUUGAGUUUGGGUGCUAUGCUUACUUAAAAGAGGCGUAUCAUCAAAAAUGUAAAUUGGAAAUGUAUAUUGGGCACAGGGUUUCAAGACUUAUAGAAGUUCAGGAUAAUUCUCAUAAUAUUGCUGUUCUCACCUAUUCAACAUGAUGAUUAUUAGGAGAAGAAGGGGCCACCAAGAGAUCUCCAACAAAUGGUGUGGGAAAUAUUUAUAUCUGGAAUCUAAAACAAAAUAUCUAGAUUUGGCACUUGGGUUCCAAGACUUUUCAGGAUAAUGCUAAUAAUGUUGUCGAUCUCACAUAUUCUACAUGAUGACUAAUAGGAGAAGAAGAGGCCACCAAGAAGUCUCCCACAAAUGUUGUGAGAAUAGGGGCUUCACCAAUAUCUUUUGUUUGGUAGGUAAAGUGAAGAAUUGCUGCUGAUUUAAAUUGCUUUCCAUAGAUAUAAGCUGUGGGAAUUGGUGUGAUAGUCAUGUGAUUGCCUCCUAAUUUAACGGGAGUUCUUGAGGCUAACACUUUGAGUUUUGUAUUGAAUUUAUCUCUUUUUCACUGUUUGCCUGCAGCUACAUAGCUUUUUCCAUAACUGCAUUUGUGGUGCUUGAUAUUGACUUAACUAAUUGGCUUCACAGUGGUGAUCGUGGUCAGUUUAUUCGGGCAUCCAAUUGCUUUUAUUAUAAACAGUUAUUUAAACAGUUGGUGUUGGUUUAAAUGAUACCUUGCUAUAGUAGAGAUUUAGUAUUCAAUUCAGUCUAUAUUGUAGGGAUCACUUGACUAAUAUGGGUCUUUGGGAAAAUGACUAAGCAAGCUUUUCAUAUAUCUUUGAGCAAAGUGAGGUUUCUAAAUAGGGAUUAACACCAACAAAUCACAUGAUCUCCUAUAAGAGUACAUUCAGGGUUAAGAAACAAUAAAGAAUAUGACAUGUUUCCUUCAUCCUAUACUACAGCUAAAAACACAAUAUCAAAGGCUCAAAUAAUCCUCACAGGGUUAUCACUAAAAAAGGAAUUAUUAGGAAUUAGGAGCAUUGCAGAUUUUAAUUGGUUCAUUUGGUAAAAAAAAAUCGAUUGUGAAUUAUUCAUUCUAACUUCUGUCCGUACUCCCACCUCUGAUGCUCACCUUCAAGAUUUCUCGAGGGCUGCACUGUUCCUGUGGAACUCGCUUCCCUCCUCUGUUAGAUGCUCACCCAGUCUCCACUCCUUCAAAAAAUCAUUAAAAACCCACUUCUUCAUAAAAGCGUAUCAAUUAAACUGUUAAUAGCUCCUGACUGAUUCCUCUUCUGCAACUGUCACUAGUCUAAUACUAUCCUUACCUUUUUGUGUCAUUUUACCCCACUCCCUCUAGCAUGUAAGCUCAUUGAGCAGGGCCCUCAACCCCUCUGUUCCUGUGUGUCCAACUUGUCUGGUUACAACUACAUGUCUGUUCGUCC